AAAGUUUUUUGCUAAAUAAAAGUGAGUUAAUCUGUUCUUAUCAGCUUAAUAUCUGAUACAGUCCCCAUAGGGGGCUCAAUAUAUUAAUCUAUUUUUUACCAGGCGGAUGCUCGGAGCUUGCUCCGACCUUGCCACGGGUCGACCCUGCAUUGCAGCAGGCCCAGCAAGU
rnacentral:snRNA from 1 species